UACGUAGGGGGCAAGCGUUGUCCGGAUUUAUUGGGCGUAAAGAGCGUGUAGGCGGCUUUACAGGUCCGUUGUGAAAACUCGAGGCUCAACCUCGAGACGCCGGUGGAAACCGUAAAGCUAGAGUCCGGAAGAGGAGAGUGGAAUACCUGGUGUAGCGGUGAAAUGCGCAGAUAUCAGGAGGAACACCGGUGGCGAAGGCGGGUCUCUGGGCCGAUACUGACGCUGAGGAGCGAAAGCAUGGGUAGCGAACAGG
rnacentral:rRNA from 1 species